rnacentral:ncRNA from 3 species
UACGUAGGGGGCAAGCGUUAUCCGGAAUCACUGGGCGUAAAGGGUGCGUAGGCGGUCUUACAAGUCAGGGGUGAAAGGCUACGGCUCAACCGUAGUAAGCCUUUGAAACUGUAGGACUUGAGUGCAGGAGAGGAAAGUGGAAUUCCUAGUGUAGCGGUGAAAUGCGUAGAUAUUAGGAGGAACACCAGUGGCGAAGGCGACUUUCUGGACUGUAACUGACGCUGAGGCACGAAAGUGUGGGGAGCAAACAGG